AGGGAACAGCAACCAGGGUCCUGCCCACAAGAAAGAUUGUGACAUCUCACUGGACAAGCACCCACCCAGGUGAUAUAACCCUCUUCUCUGGAAUGGGCCCCACACAAAGGAAGGAUAGUGACAUAUUGCAAGCCCAGGCACACAGGCCCAGAGCACAGUUGAAAUUGUGACAUAUGUACACCAAGCAACCAAGCAAUGUAUAACACCUCAUUUGGCAAUGGAAUCGAGGGCACUUUUACAUAUCACUGAGACCAGCGCCCAGCUGAUGUGAAAUAUUGGCCUGAACCCUGCCUACAAAAGCAUUGUGGCUUUUAUCUAGCUCCAUUACAUAAGUGAUGUGACUUCCUUCUACUGCCUUGGCCCUGCACUUAUGGUGAAUCGUGACACAAAAUUGGGUAGAGCAACCAGCCUGGGCCCUGACCAGCACAGAGAUUGAGGCAUAUUGCUGAACCCAGGACCAAGAUGAAGUCACUCUCCUGCCUUGAUCCUGCACACAGGGACCCUUGUGACAUAUAUACAGGCCAAUUGCCUAGGUGAUGUUGUGCAAUAUACCUGAGACCAGAUCAAUGGCCUAAUAAUGACUCUUUUACCUAGAGCCAGGACAUGUGCAGGAUGGUAACUCUCAUCCCUGAACCUUUCCACAGGUGUUAUUGUCACAUAUACCUUUUCCAGCUCCAAAGUGAUUUAAUAAUCCAGCCUAGUUAUAGCCCACAGAUAAUAUUUGGACAUAUACCUGA
rnacentral:lncRNA from 1 species